rnacentral:lncRNA from 1 species
UCAAUAGGCUUUUGAAAUGAAGCAGAACUUCAUGCAUUGGUAGAAUGUGUUAAGAACAUGCUUGUGUGGUAAGAAGAGGUGGCUUCAUUCCAUAAGUGAGGUCAUAGAAGAGUAAAACUUACUGCCAGGAAAUUACAGCUGCCUCAGGUCUCCAGCAGAAGAUGUAGCCCAGAUCAAAGGUGUGCGCUACCACACUUUUAAUCUCAGGUGACCUUGAACUCAGAGAUCUGUCUUAAUCUUCUGGAAUUCAUAGCCACCAUGGCUCAAGAUCUCCAUACCAAGAUCCAGGU